GACAAACGCUGGCGGCGUGCCUAACACAUGCAAGUCGAACGAAGCAUUUGAAUGGAUCCCUUCGGGGUGAAGCUCUUAUGACUUAGUGGCGGACGGGUGAGUAACGCGUGAGUAACCUGCCUUUCAGUGGGGGACAACAGUUGGAAACGACUGCUAAUACCGCAUAAUGUGCCGGAGGGGCAUCCCUCUGGUACCAAAGCUUUAUGUGCUGAAAGAUGGUCUCGCGUCUGAUUAGCUAGUUGGUGAGGUAACGGCUCACCAAGGCGACGAUCAGUAGCCGGUCUGAGAGGAUGAACGGCCACAUUGGGACUGAGAUACGGCCCAGACUCCUACGGGAGGCAGCAGUGGGGAAUAUUGGGCAAUGGGGGAAACCCUGACCCAGCAACGCCGCGUGAAGGAAGAAGGCCUUCGGGUUGGUAAACUUACUUUAGUUAGGGACGAAGAACGUGACGGUACUACAGAAAAGACAACGGCUAACUAACGUG
rnacentral:rRNA from 1 species